CUCGUGCCUGUCAAUCUCAUACAAAAUACUGGAUUGUUGAUAUUUUCAUUGAUUUAUAGUAAUUCUUUAUAUACUAUGGACAUAAGUCCUUUACCAUCUAGAUCAGAAGAAAUCAGUUUUUUACAAACUGUAGAGAGAAAAGUUGAAAAUAGGUACAAGCCUGUCUGAAAGUUAUUAUGUAAAAAUUUAUUUCCUCUGGAAGUUUUGGACAAGCCCAGAAAAGGACUGAAAUUUAACCUACUACAAAAAAAAUCACAAUCUCAAGGGCAAAGGGAAAGAAACCACUAAGCUGUGAAAACUCUUCAAAGGCCUGUAUCAUUUGUUCACUAAGCACUCAAGGCUAUAUAGCAUUAUUUGUUACUGACUCUGCAGACAAAAAAUAUAUAACAAAACGUUUUCUGAGGAGGAAGCUUGUUCCAAGGUGUUUUAACUAAGAAGAAAUGCUGCAGUGCAAUAUAAAGAGAAUUUUAGGCUGUCUAGGAAGAAGAAAAUAACGAGUUGGAUACUCUGGCUGAGAAUCAGGGGAUGCAGAUGGCAGAUAAAAUAAGAGAAAAAGAAGUUGGACAACUAGUAGCAAGAAAAAUGAAAAAAGUGUAAGAAAUAACAUAUUUCCCUUGGGAACUAUUAGAAGUUUUGAACUAGACUGGAGGAAAGAAGUAAAUGCUUCAACCAACUGUCACUUGUCAGUGUCCAUUGAUUCACUGGAGUUGAGAGAGGACGAAAAGUCAAAUUUAGAAACACCCCUAGAAAAAGAAGCAAAAAGUCCUUCUACACCAAUGUUCUCUAUUUUGUAUUAUAAUUAUAUCCAUUCCAGCAAUUGUAUCUUUGAAAGGAAUAAUAGAAAAGAAGCAUGCCAUGAACUGAAUGAAAAAAAAGCUGCCUAAUUCCCUAAGCUAUUAUAUCACAACAUCUGAAUUUAUGCAUAUGUUCAGAAUGGCUUCACAAGCUUGCAGAGAAGGACAUUAAUGCCAGUGGGAGAUGAGAAAACUGAAGUAAAUUUGCUGAGAUUACAGAGCUGGAAAAGGAUGGUAAAUGGUGAAGAUGGAUGAAAAC